UUGAGGAACAAUUUGUGUGGAUCUGGUUUCAUGUUGUUGUAAUGCAAAAUGGUGCAGAGCAAGUUUGUUUCCCAUCGCUGUGUGCAGAGAUGGCUUCCUUAGUACAAUCACAAGAAAAUAGUUUGGCUUUUGGAAAGUCUUGGCAAGCUACUAAUUGGAGAGCAGCGCAGCCUCACCAUUGUCCCCAGGAUGUAUAGUAGAUCUAUCACCCCUGACCUGCUCGACCACAAAUACACAACUGGCCUAAGAAGAAUAAAAAAA